ensembl:lncRNA
UUGAUUGAAGUCAGGGUUCAAAAGCUGAAAAUAUCUUGCAAAACACUUCCUUCAGAAUAAGCCUAAAUAGAGGCUUCUCUAUUGCAGCUAUGGCAGCCUUCACUAGAGGAACUCAGAGAUACCCUUUGCUUGAAAAAAACCUAAAGAUUAUAUGAACCCUAUACCUUUCAGUUUUCCAUUGAGAAAAGUGCAGGGAAUAAACUCUCUGGGACUGAAUUUUUUUUUUAAUUUAAUAAUGAUUUUUAUUUUUUCCAUUAUAGCUGAUUUACAGUGUUCUGUCAGUUUUCUAUUGCACAGCGAGGCGACCCAGUUACACAUACAUGUAUACAUUCUUUUUUUCUCACAUGAUCAUGCUGCAUCUCAGGUGACCAUACAUAGUGCCCAGUGUUAUACAGCAGGAUCCCAUCGCUUAUCCAUUCCAAAGCCAAUAUUUGGAAUGGGACUGAAUUUUUCAUGUAGUUAUGGUGCAAUAGCUGAGUUAGUUUUUAAGGGCAUGGAUUUAACUAAAGCUCAGAAAGCAGCUUGUCGGCUUCCCCAGGCUUCUGAGCAGGGCAUGUAGAACAUGGUUUGGGACAAUUCUGGCAACAGUCCAUCCAGUGAGAAAAUAUCGCAUGCCAGGUUCACGCACAGUUAUCUACAAUUUGAAAAAAAAAUUUUUCUCUGAAUAAAAAAAAAAAAACAAAACUGUGAGGGGAAAGAAACUCAUAAAAUGAUAACCAGCACAGACUUCCUUUAGGAUUAGGAGAACUUUUUGCUUUUAAGCACUUCUCGCUGCAUCACACAAAGAUGAUUUUCAAAGCCAAGUUUUAGAGUGAGACGUAUAGUUCUGGGUCUUCAACAAAUUCUGACAAGAUUUCACACCCUGUCAGAGAGGUUCUUUGCUCUUGCCCGGCUUCCCUGCAGUGGGAGAGGGGACAGAGCCAAUGCCCCAACCUCUUUGCUCUCAGGGAGCCACUUUGACCCAAUUCCAGAAGCCCAAGGGCUGUCCUUAAUUAGCAUUGUAAUUUAUAUUGCACAAUUAUGCAAAUCGGGUACAUAAACAAAAUUAUCCUUUCAGUUUGGCUUUGCUACCGGAGAAAUGCAAAGCCAGUGAAAGAUAAGAAUAAAGAAAACAGAAUACAUUUGGUUUAAUGCAAUGCACCAUUUCUUACUUAUCUAUUCUUUUGUUUUACUCUUUCACCUUGCACUUGGGGUUUUUUAAAUUUUACUUUUCUCCUAUUUUGUUUUUUAUUCAUUUUAUGCUGGGUUUUUUCCUUCUUUUAUCUCUUCCUGGCUCUUUUUCUUGGGAAAUUUUCCAUCUCAUUAAUUCUGCUACAGCGAUUCAUAACUCUUCAGGCCAUUUCUUUGUUUUUGGAUAUGACUACUAUCUUGACUCUCUCGUUUCCUUUUUCUUCUUGCCUCCAGAUUCUCUCCUUUCUUCUGACAUCCCUUUCCAUUUUACUCCAUUUUUCCUUUAGUUUGACCUGCUUUUAUAGCUGUGUGAUGCUCCUUGUCUGAUACCUAGCAAAUGCCCUCAGGAUCCAAAUCAUUUUUACUAAGAAAACUGAAAAUAAGCGUGGCAAGUAAAAGAGCUUGCAAGAUGGGAAAUUAAAGAUACAAAACCCAAUGAAAUCCAACUGAAAGCCAAUGCUAGAGGCAAAAUAGACAGUAUUUAAGUAAAUACUAGCCAGGAGGUAAUCAAUCAACAAAUCGGCAUAAAAAAGAUAAUUUUCCAACGUGGGAUGAUUGUCCAAUUGAGCAGCUCUUUUAAAAAGCCUUCAACUUGCAUGGAAAAUCAUGAAUCUAAAAUACUUAAAACUGGUUAGAAAAUAUAACCCUGUAAAUAAAGCUGGCUUUGAAAGAACAGUGGUUACUGGUACUCGACAAUAUACAGCAACUAACUCCAAAAGGAAUUUCUAACAGAGGUCCUUGAACAGAACUGUGAAGAGGACAGACUUGCUCAUUACUUGAUCUGCCCAGACCUACAGCUCCCCUGGGGAAAUAGCCCUCCCUCUUUUAACAGCCCUCUGGCUGCAGCAAUGGCAGCCAAAUUAAAAUAUAACCCAAGGGAUCAGAUCCAACUUGGGCAAAUCAGAGCAUCCUCCCUCUGGCUAUAACUUCUCCCACUUUGAAUAACUUUCGAAGGUCUCCCAUACAGAUUGCUAGUCCCUGGCUGCUUCUCUGACUUAACCCAUCUCUUCUCUUUCUCCCCGUCCCUUACUAAUGUCUAGCUACCCUCACCAACUAAUAGUCUCAGCUCAUGGCUUUUGUACCUCCCAUCCUCUCCCUCCUGGAAUGAUCUUUCUUGAUCUUUUGCAGAUUGGUUUCUUCUGGUCAUUUGAGUCUCUACUCAAAAGUCAUCUCAGAGAAAUAUCUUCUAUCUAAUAUUGACCUCCAUCCCAUGGUUAUAUAUAUUACCUCAUUUACCUUUAUUAUUAUAUUAACUAUAUUAUAUAUUAAUUAAUUGAGCACCAUUGGAAAUUGGCCUAUAUACUUAUUUAAUAUAUGUACUUGCUUCUCAGAUAUUAACAUUUUGAUUUACUUAUUGUCUGUCCCUCCCCACUAGAAUGUAAGACCAGGUCUGUCUGAUUCACCACUGUAUUCCUGGUAGUCAGGGCAGUGUCAGACACACAGAGCAUUUCCCAACUAAUUCUGGUUUAAGUAGAUGAAUUAAUGAUAGUUAUAGAAUGGGUGAUGACCUAAAAGUGGCCAAAGUUUGCCAACUCCAUGCUUUUGUAUGUGUUUGUGUGUGUGUAUAUGAUCAAAAGUGAGCGCGGUUCAUAUUUUGUGGCAUUGAUUGAACAAGGAGAUAACAAGCUCAUGGUAACUGUUUUUCCACCAUGUGAAGCAAAGUGAGUAAGGCAGUGACAAGUGAAGGUGGGGGGUUAGGGAGGGAGCAAACAGUGGGAAAGAGUGAGGUGAGAGAGGUGGGCAGACACCGAGUUUGGGCGGUGUUUAUUGCCUGGCUUCUGAUAUUCCCGAGGCACAGCUACAUUUCUGUCUGGUUUCUAGGAAACCCCUCAGGCUCUUUUCUAUGAUUUCUCCUUUUUCUUAAACUGUGAAUUGGACUCCUAUCCUCUGCCAUCAGUAACAGUAGCUGAU